CUUACAGGAAAGGGUUUCUCAGUGGCAGGCGAUGGCAGCGCGGCUGAAACUGAUGGUCUGAGGAAGUCAGCUCAUGGAGGAGAGUGGAUGAUGGACUGCUGAGGUGGUGGCCAGAGGAAGCCAAGAACCACAGCCUUGCCUGAUGAGGACUGCCUCCUGAGGAGUUUUUGAUCAACUUGCUUUCGAUGGGAUUUGGAAACUCAACUUUUGAUACUGUCCCCUAAAAUCCAGCCUCCAUGUCUGCUUUGUGAUUAUAUUCAGUCUUUCCAUGUAUUACUCCCAGAACUUCAUGGGAUGGCUCCUUCUCACUUUCUUUAAAUGUUUAUGAUAUACACACCAGAAGAAGUCUUUUUCUGGCUCUCACUCCAUUGGAGUACACACACAGCACUGUGGAUGCUCCCACGAUGCUCUCAACGGGUAGAACGUAAGUCUUCAACGACACGUCCCUCUGAGCUGUGCUUGGACCUUGCUGGGCUUGGCACCAACCACUCAGAACCCGGACAGGAAAGCGGCAGAUGACUCAAGCUUGUCUGGGAACAAGCCAUGCCAAAAGAACUGCAUUUUUGGUUUUGAUGGCAGUACUAUUGAGAGAGUGCAGUAGACACAGCAUCCUGGGAACUCGGCCUGGCAACUCCCACCUCCUGGGUCACUCUAAGCACAAAAAAACGAGGCCUGGAGGACAGUCAAAUCAAGCCGUCAGCAACUGGUUGGUGAACUGGGGUCAAUUUCAACCUGGGAGAAGUGUCGUCAAUGUGACCCAGCUUUCCCUUCUACCUUGUUUUAUUUAACUUCUAUCUUGGACCUAGAAAUCACCUGUUAACAAGUGGUGAGCUACUCAGGCAGGUGGAGUGGAGAUCCCCCAAUGAGGACCACAGGCUGAUGUUAUUCGCAAAUGCACACAUUCAACUGAAGAAAAAUUGAUGCAAAAUCCUGCAGUGGGAUAAGAAAACUCAAGGGGCCAGAAACAGAAUAGCAACUGAAGACAUAGAGGAAAAUCUCUGCUACACACAAGGGAAGACAUUUUUAGUAACCCAGUUAAGGAGACUGGAAUGCGUUAUCUUGAAAGCUGUGAGCACUCAUUGCUGGAAGAGUUGAUGCAGAGUCUGGAGGGCAACCUCUGUCAUUAUUACAACUCCAAACUGGCUGGGAGGUCACACGCUAAUAUGCCUUAUGUUAUCAUUAUUUUCAUUAUUAAUCAUUAUUCUUACUGUAGUGCAGGGGAUUGUGCAUGUUAGGCUGGUACUCUUCUGCUGAGCAACAGCUCCUG